rnacentral:lncRNA from 1 species
CCACAUCUAAGAAGUCCUAAUCACAAAAGCACAUUAUAACAUAUCCUAGCUUAGCAGCAAAUUCAUCUAGCCAACAACUUUGCAAUCUUGUAUGUUAUCCCCUCUACUGAUUUCAUUUGUGCAUAAAAAUAAAGGUGUAGGCUUUAUCUUGGGAGUAUCGAUGAAAGAACACAUGAAUUCAACUCAAGAAAGUUUCUGAAUACACAUGUAGUCUUUUCUGAUCCCUUUCUUCCCUUUACUCUCUUCUCUGAAUCUCUUAUUAGUUUCAAAUCCAAUGAACAUUGAUGCCACUCAGGCUAAUCUUUGUACAUGUCAUUGACAUGAUGAUUUUUUUUUUCUUUUUCUUUUUGACAAUGUGUAGCGAAUAAUGGGAUCACUGGAGACACUCCUACCGCCUCGUUUCCACAAUGUGUGAUCAUUCCCUUCAGACUUAGAAUAAUGGGGUCAUAGAAGACACUCCUACCCCUCUGCCUUUUCCAGGAAAUCAUUUCAAUCUUUUCUUUAUACUUUGAUCUUUGAGAUGCCAAAGAGAGAGAAAGAAGGGAACCAAAAGUGUACAGACUUUUACCUUCCAGACUUGCAGGAGGAUUCCGAUCCUUUGUAUACCAAGCCCCAAGACAAGCAAAAGAUGUCAGGUUAGGUUGGAAAUCAGCUUUGGUUCUACCAGACAAUCAUAAAAAGUGUUGUCAUAGCUGACAGGUUGGUCCACUUUAGUAUCUUUAGUACUAUUUGCAAUCAGUAAGUCUAGAAUGGUGCUAAAGAGUGGUUAGAUAACAAGGAUAAAUCGAAUUAGAUCAUCAUCCCCUUCUUGACUCAAUAAAACAAAUUUUGAAAAUGUUUUAAAUAAGAUUCAUAAAGGUAGAU